CAUCUGCAACCUAUGCCAGAGCUUGUGACAGAUCUUUAACCCACAGAGCAAGGCCAGGGAUCAAAGCCCUCAAUCUCAUGGAAACUAUGCUGGGUUCUUAACCUACUGAGCCAGAACAGGAAUUCCCAGACUAUAUCAUUUUGUUGUCUUCCUUUUUCCUUCGUGUCUUUAUUCUUCUAUUUCUGUGUGUUAUUUUUUCUUUCAGUGACAAAAAAGUGUGAAAAAUAAAAGGUUUUUCAGUCAAAGACUGGUUUCUAAACAUUUAGGUGGAGUUGUUUUUUCUUUCUUUCCGUUACAGUAAGCAUCUUCUUGAGUCAACUUUAGAUGUUAGCAACAAAGAAAGCUCUUGCAUUUUCUGGAAAAAUAAAACUAAAAAUGACCAUCUGCUCUACCUUCUGUUAUCAGAGCUGUCCCCUACUUUUGUAUCUGUAGCAUAUUUUUGGAACUGCAGGGAGAAGAGGUGACUAACAGGAAAAAUGUUUUGUUAAUGUCACCAUACAUAACAAUUUAGAAAUAUAUAAAUUAAAUUGAGACUAAUGAUUAACAACUUUUACAGCUCAUACUCAUAAUCAUAAAAUAAAUAUUUUUAAAAAGAGGAGGCAUUUUAAUAUUAAGUGCCAUCAAGUAUAAGAUGCUUACUUUUCUCAUUUUUUAUCAUUUGUCCUGGUAAGAAUGAGAAAUAAGUUAAGGCUUAUAAGAAACUUACUAUUCUUUUUUUUCUUUUUUCUUUCCUUUUUUUUUGUUUUUGUUUUUGUUUGCACCUUCAGAAUGUGGAAGUUCCUGGACCAGGGGUUGAACACUAGCUGCUUUAGCAACCUGAGCCACUGCAGUAACAAUGCUGGAUACUUAACCUGCUGUGUCACAAGGGAUCUCCUAUAAGUAACUUUUCAAUAAUCCAGGCAUUCAGGAAUAUAGCUGAAACUACAAAAGAUAACGUGUGUUGCAAGCUACUAUUUGGGGCAUAUUACAUUUCUGGUACAUAUAUAAAAACUAAAUGGAAUUAAAAAUUCAAAAAGUGAAUUUUGACCUAUCUAAUACAUAAACAAAUACAUUCUACACUUAUUUUGAUAUUAAAUAAACUAAAGCAGUGUAAAAAUAUAUCAAUUAUUCUCAUGGUUGUAAAUGAGAUUAUGAUAAAAAAUUGACCAGAAGGAAGUCAAAUUAGUACUGUUAAAGUAGUUGUUUUGCAUUGUAAUCUUAGAAUAUAAAAUCACUUUUAUUAAUUAAUACAUAUAAUAAGCAUCUUUCUGUUAAAAUUAUUUUUGAAAUAUCAACAUGUCUCAUUUCUCUAAAGAAAAUGGUCUCUUUAAAAGGAUGUGGACAUUUUUUUGAGUGUUCCAAAUAUUUUAAUAACAGACUAUUUGGAUCUAAUAUAGUAAAAAUACACUAGAAAAACAAAAAGGUAGCCUAAUUUUCUCCUUCCAUUUCUCAUAUUUUCAGUUAACUAGAAUUCUGUUCUGGACUACUGACUAUGACUUGACCCAGAAUUAAGGAGAGGGUGAUAAGAAAAAUCACUUCUUUUACUUUGCAACUGGAAGCUGGUACCUCAAUCUCUCUAGAGUGUCAAACAAUACAAUGUGGGGAAAAUAGCCAAGAAUUAUGUAAUGUCUUUGUAUGGUGACAGAUUGUAACCAGACUUAUCUUGGUGAUCAUUUUGGAGUGUAUAGAAAUAUCAAAGCACUAUGUUGUGUAACAGGAACUAACAUAGUGCUGUAGGUCAAUUAUACUUCAAAAACAAAUACGCAAACUCCUAGAAAAAGAAAUCAGAUUUUUGAUUAUCAGAGGCAGGAGGUGGGGGGAGGGGGAAUUGGAUGAAGAUAGUCAAAAAGUAUUAACCUUCAGCUAAAAGAUAAAUAAGUACUAGAGAUGUAAUGUAUCACAUGAUAUGUAUAUUAACACUGCUGUAUGUUAUAAAUGAAAGUUAUUAAGAGAGUAUAUCAUAAGUGUUCUUAUCACGAGGAAAUUUUUUUUCUAGGUCCAAUCAUUACGCUGUACACUUUAAACUUAUGCAGUAUUGUAGGUUACCUGUAUCUUAAUAAAACUGGAAACAAACAAUCAAAAAAUGAAAAACAUGUCAUGCAUACAGUAGAUCAUAUAGGUUUGAAAAGAAAUUCUUUUCAAACUACAGACUACAACAUGCAUGUACUUUUAUACAUUAAGUGAAUUAAGUCUGCCAAAACAUGACAAUGAAUAAUUAAACUAUAUUAUAUAAUUGGAAUUGUCAGCUCACAGACAGAAUACAGAAUGAUGAUUGCGAGGACUGGAGUGGAAGGAAAUGCAGUUAUUAUUUAAUGGGUAUAUGGGUUCAGUUUGGGAAGAUAAACAUUUUGGAGAUGAUUGUUUGUGGAUUAUGCAACAAUAUGAAUGUAUUUGCUGUCACAAAACUGUGCACAUAAAAAUAUUUAAAUCGGUUAAUUUUAUGUCACAUUUUAACACACAAACACAAAAUUAUAUCCAGAAUACAGUGUGAUUAUACAUUUAUAUUAACAGAAGACAGUAUUAUCAACUAAGUGCUCUAAAUUCAGUAAUACUAUUAAUCAAAAUAAAGGAGAAAUAAAAAUAUUUCAAUUAAAAAAGUAGGAAAAUCACCUCUGCCUUUUGUCACUAAACCAGUCAUCCAUCGAGGAUGGCUGAGAGGAGUUAGAAUAAGCUAAAAUUAAAACAUCUAAUGCAGAAAACAAAUAUUUGUAAGUGGGUUACAUUUUCUCAAGGCUUAAGGUAUUGAUACAUACGUUAAUCCUUUUCCAAAUGGCAUAUGCAAUGUUUAAAUUACAAUUAUUUAAAACAAUGUUUUUUCUGCCUGUCAGCCUUACUUAACACACCUUUCAAUGUACUCCCCAGAUUUGUGUGGAUAGUAACACAGCUUCACAAUAACAAAUGAUGCUUCUAAUGGACAGCAACUUAAAUAAUUGCUCAGUUUCUACACCUUCAAACACUAAUAUUAAUGCUUCACUGAAUUUGUGUAUAACUAGUCAUUUUAUUUAUAAUAUAUUGGCAGAAUGUUUUUUUUGGUGCAUCAUUUUUCCUUUGAGUAAGAAAUAGGAUUUUUGCUUUACAUGCAUCUAUUCUCUAUCAUCAUAGUCAGUUAUUACUUGCAAUAAAACAGAAGGUUUAAUUCUAGAGUUUCACUUUGGGUUUUCAGAUUUCAUUUAUGGUACACAGAUUAUGAAAAAAUCCUCAUGAUAUAACUUGAGAUUCUUUUAAGAAGACAUUUUUGCAACUUUUCAAAACAAAUUCUGCUUGGAAAUUAUAUAUUUUCCUUAUUAAUUUUCUCUAACAAAAUGGGUAUGUACCAUAAACAAUUUAUUUUGAUAUUUCUUAAUGUUAACAUGAAAUUUUAAUAGGCAUUUAAAUGUUUUACAGUUAUUUUAGUUUUCUAUAAAAUGUCAAUCUAAAAACUUUAUAUUUAAGACAUUACAUGAUGUGCUUAUACACUUUGAGUAAUCGCUUUAAAAUGUUAUAAUUAUAUAAUCUCUGCUCAAGUGUAAGAGUGACUUUUCAUUAGAACAAGUUAAUUGUUAUGUCAUUUACCUUCAAAAUGACAUGGAGAAUCUAUUUUUGAUGGAAACAAGUUUCAGUGUCUCUCACGUUACAUAAAUAGAAAGUAGAGAGUCUGGGAAUCUAACCCAGGCCCUCCUGCUUUCCAAAAACACUGUGUCAUGUUGCCUUCUCCACAGUGGUUGCCUGACAUAAAGCACAUCAUAUGAAAACUUUGCUUCUUUUGCAUGAAAUUUACUGAAUUUCAUUCUGGGAGUACAGUCCCCCCACAUAACACUCAUCAUCAAAAGGCCAAAAUAGUUUAGUAAUGGAAUUGACUGCUCUCUACUGAUUAUCUUUUCAAAUGUGUACACAACUAUAUAUUACAGAAGCUGAGUAUCAGAGAGAAUGCCUAUCACAGUAAUAACUCAGACUGACAGUGCCACAGUCACUCUUAUGCUUUGUAUCAUUCUAACCCCAGGCUCGUCUCAUGUGUGGCUUCUUAUGGAUAUGCAAACCAAUUCAUCAAACAUUCUUCCAGAGCAGGAAGACCUUUGCUCCUUUCUUUAUUUAUCUUGUCCCACUUGCUUUCAAACUUCCAGGAAUGUCACUGAUGGCAUCCAUGCUUAUUUUAUGGUGCUACUAUUUCAUUCUUUCUCUUUAGACUUUAUCAUCUCCUGUUAUUCAGGAAAGUGAGAGAAAAAUAAAGUGCUACCAGGCUCCAUAGUAAGCUAGAAAUAUUUUGUAACUUUAAGAAUUAUCUCUGUGGGAUUUUUUUUUGUCUUACGUGACACAUAUCCAAUGAAUGGAAAAUUUAGAAUUAAAGGAAGACUGCAAUUCAUGGGUGUAAUAUUUUAAGUGCAUAUGAAAAAAAGUCCAUUCAAGUCCUCUGCCCUUUUUAUUUUUCCAUUAUUGAGCUGUAUGAGUUAUUUAUGUAUUGUGGAUAUUAUCUUACUGCAUACAUGACUUGAAAAUAUUUCUUCUCAUUCACUAGGCGGCCUUUUCACUCUGUUGAAUGUGUCCUUUAGAGCACAGAACUUUUAAAAUUGAAUAAAUUGCCAUUUGCCUAAUUUGUGCUUUUAUUGCCUAUGCUUUUGAUGUCAAACCCAAGAACUCAAUGACAAAUCCAAGGCCAUGAAGGUUUCCCCCUAAAUUUUCUUGUAGAAAUUUUAUAGUUUCAGGCCUUCCAUUUUAAUUCAUUUUGAAGAGUGAGUAAAGUUAGGGGAUGGUAGCCAGGGAGUGGAGUACAUAAGUUAUUCUAUGGAGGGGUUGUGUUUGUUGGUAAUGCUGCUAAAGCAUAAUAGAAAGGAGCCUGAGGCAAAAUUGACAAGAUCAUUGGAACAAAAAGUCCAAAGGAUGUGGUUUAGAAAUUUCAUCUAUGUGUAUUUAAAUUACUAAGAAUUAAAAUAGAAAUAUUUUUGAAAAAUGACAUUGAGACUUUUGCUAAAAUCACUGAGGAAUGAGGUAUAAGGGAUUUGUGAAUGAUUAGAAUAAGGAACCAACAGUUAAUAAGUUGAUGAUGUAAGAACUAAAGUACAGGUUCUGGCAGUUUGGGAAAGAAACUAUGAAAGCAGCAAUGAGAAUUACAGAGGCCACCAUUUAUAUUUCAAAGGGACAGAGAGACAAUUCACAAUAACAAUUUUCUAAAGUAAAUGUUCUAAUAAAAAGGGAGGUAAGGAGCCAGGAGUCAGAAAAAAAUCCUGAAACACUAGGACAUUAGCAGAAUUGAGCAACAGUCUGUGGAGCCAUCUUUUAAUAUCUACAUCAAAGCGGACAGUCAGCAAAAGCCUUAAAAAAUGGCCUUCUUCUUGGCUUUUGUAAGUACAAAUAAGAAAAUUUUAAAAUUUCUUUGUAACUCUAUGUGGUAUUAGGGUUCCUCUGGUGUUUCACUUUAAAAAUUAACUUUUCUCUUUCCUGGAUAUGUACAGCAGAUUAGCAAAGCUCAACAGCCAUCAUAUAAUUUAAAACAAACAAACAAAAAAACCAAAAAAGACAAAAAACCAAAUUCUUAGCAGAAUCAACAAGAUCAAUACUAUUUUCCCAGUUAGCCUCACCUCACUUUCAACAAUCAGCUAAUCUUCCAGUUUUAACACUAGAAAAUGAAAAGCUCAUCCUAUAUGUGUUUGAAUUUUAAAAUUAAAGCCCCUGUUGGAAAAUGUAAUUGGUAAAAUUUAGGUAUCAGUAAAAUACUUGAGAAAAACCCAAAUCAAACCAAGCCAGGAUC
rnacentral:lncRNA from 9 species